UGUUCGAGCGUCAUUUGUACCCUCAAGCUUUGCUUGGUGUUGGGCGUCUUUGUCUCUCACGAGACUCGCCUUAAAAUGAUUGGCAGCCGGCCUACUGGUUUCGGAGCGCAGCACAAUCUUGCACUUCUGAUCAGCCAUGGUUGAGCAUCCAU
rnacentral:rRNA from 1 species